rnacentral:tRNA from 1 species
GGGGGUUUAGCUCAGUGGUUUCUGAGCUGGCCUCGCAAGCUCAAGGUCCCGAGUUCAAUCCCCGGUACCCCCC